ensembl:lincRNA 4931440J10Rik RIKEN cDNA 4931440J10 gene
GCGGGCCACCGGGUCCGGGUCACCACCGGGGCUGGGUUAGUCGGUACCUUCAUGAAGGUCUCUACCGCGCCUUUGGCCGUGUCCAGAUCAUAAUAGUGAUACUGAAACAACAACAACAAAAUUAACAAGCAUAAAAUUGGAUAUGAAAUUAAACAAGGUUGCAAUUGCUGCAAGGCUUUUUUUGCCAGGCUUUCCUGUAUGACUCGGAACUGUUUACAAUCACCUCCUCCCUCUCCAGGAGCUAUGGAGCAAAUGAAUGGAGCUAGAAAAUACGUCAUCCUGAGCAAGGCAACCCAGACCAAAAGACAAGUAUGCUCUGGGGCUCACACGUGUUAGCUGAGCACCUGCCACUGAGCCCUCAGCCUCAGAUACUGUUAACUAAGGCACAACAGAGGUAAAGGUGAAGUGUUUUCCUAAGGCUCUAAGGUGUCCCAGGCUCCAGUGAAAGUUUUGAGGGAGGGAAAGUGGUCUCUCUACUUCAUGAAGUCAGAGCAGAUCACACCUACAACGAGGAGAACACAAUUUGGAUGAAGAGGAAACAAGAACAAAAGCUGUCACAGAGAGUUAAAGGGAGUGACUGCAAAGUGUGGAGCCGGUGACUUGGCCACACUUUGAUGAAGUGGCUGCGGGUCUUCUCUUCAUUGUUUACACAAGCCAUUAGAGCAUCUUCUCACGGAAACCAUUUGACUCUGCAGUGUUGCUGCUUUGAGCUGACAGAGGAUGGAAAGUGGUCCCUGCAAUGAGAACAGGGUCUGCUGCGGAGACACAGAAAGUUCUUAAAGUAUUUGGUCACCUUAGGAUGUGACAUUAUCUAUUAUUGCUUUGAAAAGACUACAGUAGCUGUUCUGUGGGUGGCUUGGAGAGAACAAGGCUGGACCAGUGAGAAACUC